CCAUGGCAGAGAAGAGACUGGGUGGUGAGGUUGAGAAGAAGGGAGAAAAGUGGGGCGGUGCGGCGACCCACGCAGGAGCUCGCCGGAGCCGGGUGACGAUGGACGGGCGCGGGAGACAGAAGGAUCCGGCGCGGCGGCGCGCACUCCUUGUAGUUGGAGGCGGGCCUUCAUGGCCGCGGCGCCCCUCCCCCCGCGACAGCUCAGGCAGCGGUCAGAUCCGCCCUCCCUCCCUCCCUCACUCCUCGCACUGGAAGACCUAGCCGCUGGGCCAUGGUGACCGACGGCGAUGAUGACGGUGGUGGCUACCUCGACGAUGGAUAAAAUCCGCUCCGCCCCUCCUCUUAUCCGUCGACGACCGCUUGAAUCCCGAGAGGAGAGGAGAGGAGUGGGAGAUCCAUGGCGACGGAAAGAUCCGCGCCUGGAUCGGACCUGCUCGUCAAGGAGACCCACGCCAUGGAGCUGCUCGUCAAUGUUCCACCCUGGCACACAUCCAACAUCGCCAUGGACCAGUAGCUCAAGCCGUCUUCUUCCAGAUGGUGAUGGGGUUCCCUCACCAUCUGCAGGUCAUCAUCCUUAAGGGCUCCACCAUCUGCAGUGUCUACAGUGGACUAUUUGCAUCUUCAGUGCAAAUACCUGAUUGUAUAUGGAUGGAUUGUAGGGUCUAACCACCUUGAUUUGAUUCGGGCUGGAGCAGCAGCAGCAGGUCCUUCCUUCCAUGGAGGGCAUCCACAACAUGACCCGCACAAGGAGCUCCAAGCAGACAAAGCACAGGUUUCUUUGUUUGUAAAUUAAGCAGUCUGGUAGAUUUGGAAAGGAGGAACAGGGUACUGAACUUUUAUAUAUCUGCACAAGGAAUACUAUGUUAUGUAAGAACAUGGCGGUGCAGUCACCCGAGGUGAAGAAGCUCUGUCACCUACCUCUACAUCCUCCACUAGGCUGACAAGCACAACUGCUAACAAGUAUGCUAAUCCACCCUCAUCUGCAUCGCUUC